CAAACAUGUAAAAUAGGCGAGAAAAGAAAGAGGCUUGAGGAGGAGAAGAGCAUUAUCAUUCGAUUUGUCAUUGGUCAUAGUGCCACAUCAGGGGGUAUUCUAGACAGAGUUGUUGAAGCAGAGGAUAAGAAACAUGGAGAUAUUCUAAGACCGGACCACGUUGAAGGUUACCUUGAAUUAUCUGGCAAGACAAAAAUAUAUUUUGCUACUGCUGCUGCUUUGUGGGAUGCUGAUUUUUAUGUCAAAGUUGAUGAUGACGUACAUGUAAAUAUAGGUGAGUCUUCUUCUUUAUUUUUACUUUACAAGACAUGUAAAGCUUAUGCUAAUUCACAUUCUCAAAUAUAAAUUUCAUAGUAAACACGAGUAUAAGUUUCCAUGUAAAAGUUUACCAUGGAAUUGAUUUGUUAUGUAAUAUCUGUCACGCAAGCCCAUUUCUGCUCAAGAUCUGUGCCAUUUUCAGGUUUGUAUUUUUUUUCUACAUUUUUAUUUCUGCUCUCUUUGUCUCUCUUGGCUCCCUCUCUCUCUCUAUAUCUCACUCAUCUCUUUUUUGCAUUUCUUAACUAUAUCUACAUUUUUUUUGUAUUAAUUUGUUCUCUGUUUUUCUUAUGCGAAAGGGGAAAGUUUUUGGUGAAAAUAGCUUUGUUUGUGCAGGCUAUGAUACUAUAGUACAUUGUAUUCACUUAUUAUAAAAGUUUGAUUACUUUUUAGUAAUAUAUUAUUUUGUUAUUUAUUUUAUAAAUUUUUUUUACUUUUUGUGUAACUUUUAGAAUUAGAAAACAACUUUACAGAAGCAGAAGUGGUAGCAUAGAGUACUUAUUAUUUUGGUUACUCUUUAGUAAUAUAUGAUAUAAGUUACUUUUUUUAAAACAUGUCUUGUUUUUGGAUAUUUUUUUAGUAACUUUUAAGUUAAAAAUAACUGAUCAAAUUAGAAUUAAUAGUAAAAGCAAUAUCAACGAA